GACGAACGCUGGCGGCGUGCUUAACACAUGCAAGUCGAACGGAAAGGCCCUGCUUUUGUUGGGUUCUCGAGUGGCGAACGGGUGAGUAACACGUGAGUAACCUGCCCUUUACUUUGGGAUAACUUCAGGAAACUGGGGCUAAUACCGGAUAGGAGCUCCUGCUGCAUGGUGUGGGUUGGAAAGUUUCGGCGUUUGGGGAUGGACUCGCUGCUUAUCAGCUUGUUUGUGGGGUAGUGGCUUACCAAGGCUUUGACGGGUAGCCGGCAUGUGAAGGUUACCGGCGACAAUGGGACUGAGAGACGGAGCAGAAUGCAACGGGAGGCAGCAGGGGGGAAUAUUGCACAAUGGGGGGAAGCGUGAUGAAGAAAAGCAGCGAGCGGGAAGACGGCCUACGGGUUGUAAACAGAUUUGGAAUGAGACGAAGAGAGAGUGACGGUAAUGGGUAAAGAAGCAACGGCUAACUACGUG
rnacentral:rRNA from 1 species